AACGAACGCUGGCGGCAGGCUUAACACAUGCAAGUCGAGCGCCCCGCAAGGGGAGCGGCAGACGGGUGAGUAACGCGUGGGAAUCUACCCAUCUCUACGGAAUAACGCAUGGAAACGUGUGCUAAUACCGUAUACGUCCUUCUGGAGAAAGAUUUAUCGGAGAUGGAUGAGCCCGCUUUGGAUUAGCUAGUUGGUGGGGUAAAGGCCUACCAAGGCGACGAUCCAUAGCUGGUCUGAGAGGAUGAUCAGCCACACUGGGACUGAGACACGGCCCAGACUCCUACGGGAGGCAGCAGUGGGGAAUAUUGGACAAUGGGCUCAAGCCUGAUCCAGCCAUGCCGCGUGAGUGAUGAAGGCCCUAGGGUUGUAAAGCUCUUUCACCGGUGAAGAUAAUGACGGUAACCGGAGAAGAAGCCCCGGCUAACUUCGUGCCAGCCGCCGCCGUAACAC
rnacentral:rRNA from 1 species